rnacentral:rRNA from 1 species
UCAAGUGCCUUAAGGGUGUUCGGUGGAUGCCUUGGCGCUGAGAGGCGAUGAAGGACGUGCUACGCUGCGAUAAGCCGUGGGGAGCUGCGAAGAAGCUUUGAUCCACGGAUUUCCGAAUGGGGAAACCCACCUUCGAUAGCCGGAACUCCAAGACCUUGUGUUUUGGGGUUCGACCAGAAAUGGAAGAAAUCAGACCGCGAGGUUUUGGAUUUCCGGUUAUCAAGAGAAGGUAUGAGACUUCCGAAUAAAAUAGGAGGUUUUAAGCGAACCCAGGGAACUGAAACAUCUCAGUACCUGGAGGAAAGGACAUCAAUCGAGACUCCGUUAGUAGUGGCGAGCGAACGCGGACCAGGCCAGUGAUACAUCAAAGACAAUCGGAACCAGUCAGGAAAGCUGGGCCUCAGAGGGUGAUAGCCCCGUACGAGUAAUGCGAUGAUGUAUCCACGAGUAAGGCGGGACACGUGUAAUCCUGUCUGAACACGGGGGGACCACCCUCCAAGCCUAAGUACUCCUCAGCGACCGAUAGUGAACCAGUACCGUGAGGGAAAGGUGAAAAGCACCCCGACGAGGGGAGUGAAAUAGACCUGAAACCGGACACCUACAAACAGAUGGAGCCCAAGAUACGUUCUGGGUGACAUCGUACCUUUUGUAUUAUGGGCCAGCGACUUAAUUUAACGAGCAAGCUUAAGCCGAUAGGCGAAGGCGCAGCGAAAGCGAGUCUGAAUAGGGCGUCAAGUUCGUUGUAUUAGACCCGAAACCUAGUGAUCUAGCCAUGAGCAGGUUGAAGGUGAGGUAACACUCACUGGAGGACCGAACGGGUGCCUGUUGAAAAAGGCUCCGAUGACUUGUGGUUAGGGGUGAAAGGCCAAUCAAACUGGGAAAUAGCUGGUUCUCCGCGAAAGAUAUUUAGGUAUCGCCUCGGAUGAAUGCCUCAGGGGGUAGAGCACUGGAUGGGCUAGGGGGACUUACCGUCUUACCAAACCCAACCAAACUCCGAAUACCUGAGAGCAAUAUCCGGGAGUCACACGGCGGGUGCUAACGUCCGUCGUGGAGAGGGAAACAACCCGGACCUACAGCUAAGGCCCCUAAUUCGUGGCUAAGUGGGAAAGGAUGUGGAAAUCCCAAAACAACCAGGAGGUUGGCUUAGAAGCAGCCAUCCUUUAAAGAAAGCGUAACAGCUCACUGGUCUAAAUAAGGGUUUCUGCGCCGAAGAUGUAACGGGGCUCAAGCCACGAGCCGAAGCUUAGGGUGUGAUCCGCAAGGGUCACGCGGUAGCGGAGCGUUCUGUAAGCCUGCGAAGGGCGACCCGUGAGGGCGCCUGGAGGUAUCAGAAGUGCGAAUGCUGGCAUGAGUAACGACAAACACUGUGAAAGACAGUGUCGCCGAAAGUCCAAGGGUUCCUGCGUAAAGUUAAUCUUCGCAGGGUUAGCCGACCCCUAAGGCGAGGCCGAAAGGCGUAGUCGAUGGGAAUGCAGUGAAUAUUCUGCAGCCAGUGGAUGGUGACGAAUCCAGUAUGUUGUCCGACCUUAAUGGAUUGGUCGGGCCUCGAAUGGGUUCCAGGAAAUAGCCUCCACAUCAGAUCGUACCCGAAACCGACACAGGUGGACUGGUAGAGUAUACCAAGGCGCUUGAGAGAACUAUGUUGAAGGAACUCGGCAAUUUACCUCCGUAACUUCGGGAUAAGGAGGCCCAUUGCAUGCGCAAGCAUGCAGUGGGGGCACAGACCAGGGGGUGGCAACUGUUUAACAAAAACACAGGGCUCUGCGAAAUCGCAAGAUGACGUAUAGGGUCUGACGCCUGCCCGGUGCCGGAAGGUUAAGAGGAGAGGUGCAAGCCUUGAAUCGAAGCCCCGGUAAACGGCGGCCGUAACUAUAACGGUCCUAAGGUAGCGAAAUUCCUUGUCGGGUAAGUUCCGACCUGCACGAAUG